UCCCUUGGACCCUUGCAGCUGGGAGAAAGAAGAAGUUCCCGUAAGUUUAUAAUCACCGCUUGAGUUGUGUGCUUUCUCUAGGUGUAAGUGUCACAAGAGACACAAGAACCCGGUGAAUCUGGAGGUGCAAGAAAACUGACGCAGGAGCUCAGCCAUGCAAGAGGAAACAGCUGACUUCUACCCUCGCACCUUGGGAUCCCCUUGGGCACACCGCUCGCUAAGAUAAGAAUGGAGUGGAAGAAUAUAAUAGGAGAGACGCCAGCAAGACACCCGAUAGAUGCUUGGUCUGAAGACUGAUAUCACUUGCAGCCUGUCAGGAGGAGGAGAUGAAGGAGGAGGAAGAGGAGGAACACAAAGAAACUCUCCUCGCGUCUGGCUUGGAGGGAAGGAGGCGGCGUCAGGAAUCAGACUGAGUGGUCGUCGUGGAGGUGGUUGCGUCCCCAGCGUGUAUCCGGCAGGGCAGGCAGCUCCGCCACGCCCCUUCUGCACAUGUACCUACAGACGGAGGCUCGUUCCCUCUUGACUGACUGGCUGACUGGCUGACUGACUGACUGACUGUCGCCGCCGCCUCACGCUGAUAUUAAGGUGUGCGGGCGGGCGGGACAGGCUACCGUUGUGAGCGGCGACCUCCCACUUGUAUGCUUGGUGGUGGCUCGCCUCGCCUGGUGUCCUGAUGGUAUGUGGUGACUGUUUCUUCUUGUAUGAGGGGAGGGAGGAGUAGAGUAAGGUCAUUAGAGUCUUUUUUUUUUUUUAAUUUGCAAUGUUAGUUCGAUGUAGAAAGUAAAGUAAUUAAGUAGAUCGUUUGUUGAUUAACAUCUUCAGUGGUUGGUGUGUAAGUUGAAGGUAAACUCUGUCUAGCGGCCUUGGAGUGUAUAUAGAAGACGGACACGAGAUUAACUUGGCAAAGAUAGAGACUUGGAAUUUUGAGUGAGUGAGUAACAGGAAAUAUUUAGAUUGAAAGUUUUAAGCGCGUGAAUUAGGUGAAAAGGAACUAACUGGGCAGGAAUAGAUACGUGAAAAUUUGAGAAGUGCAAGGAAGAUGGAAGAUGAAAGGAAGUUUGUUUUGAUGAAAUUUGAAUUGAGCAGUUGAAAUAUUCACGCAGAACAGUGUCUUCGGAAUAAAUCGUAUUAUCGGCCAUUUUAGAGAUUUAUAACAGCAUAAGGCACUGA